rnacentral:misc_RNA from 1 species
UUGCCGUCUUGGGAUCCCUCCUUUCUAAGGAUGAUCCUUCAGCGAGCUCACGCUCACUAUCGGAUCGUUUUAGAAACAUCAGUGGCCAACAGAUCGCCAGAUCGUGAGCUGCAUUGGCGGGAUUUCGCCGUCUUCGUUUCUCUUUCUUCGCGGACGAACACGCGCUGGGCCUGCAACGGCAGGAUCCAGGGUCCUUAACGGGAUGUGCGUUAGGGGCUUGUAGCUCAGUUGGUUAGAGCGCGCGCUUGAUAAGCGUGAGGUCGGAAGUUCAAGUCUUCCCAGGCCCACCACUUUCAUCGAGUGAGCAUUCGUCUUCUGGUUACGGGGCCAUAGCUCAGCUGGGAGAGCGCGUGCUUUGCAAGCAUGAGGUCGUCGGUUCGAUCCCGUCUGGCUCCACCAGAUGGUUUGAUCACCGAGAUCUUGACCGUCGUCCGCGAAACAUCACUUCGCUUCCUGCUAGUCUGGAUAGACAGCAGUUUGCGUGUUUUYUGACAUCGUAAAGAGGAGAUCGAUCCGAGUUGGGUCGUGCAGCAUAUCGUUGCGCGAGCCUUCAUUAUYUCCGGAUCAUUUCGGCGCUCGCUUCCAUCCGUGAGGUUGGAUGCGGGUUGUAAAUGAUCCUUUUAGCGAAGCUUGACCGCCUCGCUAUCGGAACGAUCUUACGAAGCAAGCUGGUCUUUCUAGUCAAUGUCCGGCUGCGGAUAGCGUUCAUCGAGGGCGCGUGCCGCAAGGCAAUUCUGCAGACAACAUUCUGCCGAGUGUGUGGACAUUGAUAAUGAGAGCAAUCAAGUGCCUUAAGGGUGUUCGGUGGAUGCCUUGGCGCUGAGAGGCGAUGAAGGGCGUGCUACCCUGCGUUCAGCCGUGGAAGCUCGAGCGCUCCCCCUGGGGUUUUUC